rnacentral:misc_RNA from 1 species
GAUGAAGACGCAGCGAAAUGCGAUAAGUAAUGUGAAUUGCAGAAUUCAGUGAAUCAUCGAAUCUUUGAACGCACAUUGCGCCCCCUGGUAUUCCGGGGGGCAUGCCUGUCCGAGCGUCAUUACAACCCUCAAGCUCAGCUUGGUAUUGGGCCCCGCCGACCCGGCGGGCCCUAAAGUCAGUGGCGGUGCCGUCCGGCUCCGAGCGUAGUAAUUCUUCUCGCUCUGGAGGUCCGGUCGUGUGCUCGCCAGCAACCCCCAAUUUUUUUCAGGUUGACCUCGGAUCAGGUAGGGAUACCCGCUGAACUUAAGCAUAUCAAUAAGCGGAGGA